AAUAUUGCGCAAUGGGGGGAACCCUGACGCAGCGACGCCGCGUGAGCGAUGAAGGCCUUCGGGUCGUAAAGCUCUUUCCUCAGGGAAGAAGAAAGUGACGGUACCUGAGAAGAAAGCCCCGGCUAACUACGUGCCAGCAGCCGCGGUAAUACGUAGGGGGCGAGCGUUGUCCGGAAUUAUUGGGCGUAAAGGGUGCGUAGGCGGCCUUUUAAGUCAGAUGUGAAAGGCUACGGCUUAACCGUAGUUAGCAUUUGAAACUAAAAGGCUUGAGUGCAGGAGAGGAGAGUGGAAUUCCUAGUGUAGCGGUGAAAUGCGUAGAUAUUAGGAGGAACACCAGUGGCGAAGGCGACUCUCUGGACUGCAACUGACGCUGAGGCACGAAAGCGUGGGGAGCGAACA
rnacentral:rRNA from 1 species